UAAACAACAAAAUAUCUUAAAAAGGAUCCUUAAAACGGGAAAAGAAAUCUGGAAAUUUCCUAUACAGAUUUGUUUCAGAUGCCCACAGAGAAGAAACUAAAUGGCGGUAAGACCUUCCCCUCAAACAGAAACGUCAGGAAGGAGAUUGAGGUCUGCAUUACUAGAUGAAACAAAUAUCCCCAAUCUAAAAAAAAAACAGAGAGUAAAUUUGUUGUCUAUGGUGGCCGGUGGGAGCGACGAUCGGAGGCUGCUAAAUCAGAAGCUUUCACUAGAGCAUCUUCAACCCAAAAACAGUCUUCUAACCUCCGUAAACCCUCUUCCGCCAUUGCAUGAGCAUCAGAGUUUCCCUCGCGCGCGACAAACUGGAAACGACACUCGGAGAAGUUCCUAGUCGAAGCUUUCAGAUCCCAGCAAUAACGUAUCGGAAGCCCAUCUCCGAUGCAAACUGAACACCAUGCAACAGUGCGAUAGCUUCAGCUAAAGCUACUGUCCUUACAAGGUGAUGAACUCGAAACUCUGAACCCAAAAUAUUACCCUCUUCAUUUUUGAUAAUGAAACUCAAUACCGCUUUCUGUCUUACAAUCGAGAAACCGGCAUCCACAUUUAACUUUACCCAACCCGUUGGAGGGGGAUUCCUCAGCAGAUCAUACCCCUGGGUUUGGGAUGUUGAAGAUUUGAUGACAACUCUCGAUGUUCCAUGCUGAAACCCUUAAUGAAGGGAACUCACAGGAUUAAACGACCGGUGGACGUGGGACUCUGUUAUCUAUCAGACUUAUUAAAUACGUAUUUGUGUGUGUGAACCUAUGUCUUGAAGUUGUAUUUAAGUUUUGAAGAUUUAAGUAUGUUUUCAAAUAACAAAUAAUUUUAUGGUUUAAUUAUGGAUUGUAAAACUUGCCUUAAGUAUGUCUAUUUUCUGGUAAUUUAAUGUGACGUCCUAGAUUUGGUCUUUUUGUUUGGGCUGAGUUUAGGGUGUUACAUAAAAUUUUUUAGGUGAUCCUCAGACUUAGGGUUUGGCCAUGCUCAAUAGAUCAGUUCGGUUUACUGUUUUAA